rnacentral:rRNA from 1 species
AUUGAACGCUGGCGGCAUGCCUUACACAUGCAAGUCGAACGGUAACGGGCCUUCGGGUGCCGACGAGUGGCGAACGGGUGAGUAAUACAUCGGAACGUGCCCGAUCGUGGGGGGUAACGAGGCGAAAGCUUUGCUAAUACCGCAUACGAUCUACGGAUGAAAGCAGGGGACCGCAAGGCCUUGCGCGGACGGAGCGGCCGAUGGCAGAUUAGGUAGUUGGUGGGAUAAAAGCUUACCAAGCCGACGAUCUGUAGCUGGUCUGAGAGGAUGAUCAGCCACACUGGGACUGAGACACGGCCCAGACUCCUACGGGAGGCAGCAGUGGGGAAUUUUGGACAAUGGGCGCAAGCCUGAUCCAGCCAUGCCGCGUGCAGGAUGAAGGCCUUCGGGUUGUAAACUGCUUUUGUAAGGAACGAAAAGCCUUCUUUUAAUACAGGAGGGUCAUGACGGUACCGUAAGAAUAAGCACCGGCUAACUACGUG